rnacentral:rRNA from 2 species
UGGGGAAUAUUGGGCAAUGGGCGAAAGCCUGACCCAGCAACGCCGCGUGAAGGAAGAAGGUUUUCGGAUUGUAAACUUCUUUUAUCAGGGACGAAGAAAGUGACGGUACCUGAUGAAUAAGCCACGGCUAACUACGUGCCAGCAGCCGCGGUAAUACGUAGGUGGCAAGCGUUAUCCGGAUUUACUGGGUGUAAAGGGCGCGUAGGCGGGGAUGCAAGUCAGAUGUGAAAUCUAUGGGCUUAACCCAUAAACUGCAUUUGAAACUGUAUCUCUUGAGUGUCGGAGAGGUAGACGGAAUUCCUAGUGUAGCGGUGAAAUGCGUAGAUAUUAGGAGGAACACCAGUGGCGAAGGCGGUCUACUGGACGAUAACUGACGCUGAGGCGCGAAAGCGUGGGGAGCAAACAGG